UACGUAGGGUCCGAGCGUUGUCCGGAAUUACUGGGCGUAAAGAGCUCGUAGGUGGUUUGUCGCGUUGUUCGUGAAAACUCACAGCUUAACUGUGGGCGUGCGGGCGAUACGGGCAGACUUGAGUACUGCAGGGGAGACUGGAAUUCCUGGUGUAGCGGUGGAAUGCGCAGAUAUCAGGAGGAACACCGAUGGCGAAGGCAGGUCUCUGGGCAUUAACUGACGCUGAGGAGCGAAAGCAUGGGGAGCGAACAGG
rnacentral:rRNA from 1 species